GACGAACGCUGGCGGCGUGCUUAACACAUGCAAGUCGAACGGAAAGGCCCUGCUUUUGUGGGGUGCUCGAGUGGCGAACGGGUGAGUAACACGUGAGUAACCUGCCCUUGACUUUGGGAUAACUUCAGGAAACUGGGGCUAAUACCGGAUAGGAGCUCCUGCUGCAUGGUGGGGGUUGGAAAGUUUCGGCGGUUGGGGAUGGACUCGCGGCUUAUCAGCUUGUUGGUGGGGUAGUGGCUUACCAAGGCUUUGACGGGUAGCCGGCCUGAGAGGGUGACCGGCCACAUUGGGACUGAGAUACGGCCCAGACUCCUACGGGAGGCAGCAGUGGGGAAUAUUGCACAAUGGGCGGAAGCCUGAUGCAGCAACGCCGCGUGCGGGAUGACGGCCUUCGGGUUGUAAACCGCUUUCGCCUGUGACGAAGCGUGAGUGACGGUAAUGGGUAAAGAAGCACCGGCUAACUACGUGCCAGCAGCCGCGGUGAUACGUAGGGUGCGAGCGUUGUCCGGAUUUAUUGGGCGUAAAGGGCUCGUAGGUGGUUGAUCGCGUCGGAAGUGUAAUCUUGGGGCUUAACCCUGAGCGUGCUUUCGAUACGGGUUGACUUGAGGAAGGUAGGGGAGAAUGGAAUUCCUGGUGGAGCGGUGGAAUGCGCAGAUAUCAGGAGGAACACCAGUGGCGAAGGCGGUUCUCUGGGCCUUUCCUGACGCUGAGGAGCGAAAGCGUGGGGAGCGAACAGGCUUAGAUACCCUGGUAGUCCACGCUGUAAACGGUGGGUACUAGGUGUGGGGUCCAUUCCACGGGUUCCGUGCCGUAGCUAACGUUUUAAGUACCCCGCCUGGGGAGUACGGCCGCAAGGCUAAAACUCAAAGGAAUUGACGGGGCCCCGCACAAGCGGCGGAGCAUGCGGAUUAAUUCGAUGCAACGCGUAGAACCUUACCUGGGUUUGACAUGGAUCGGGAGUGCUCAGAGAUGGGUGUGCCUCUUUUGGGGUCGGUUCACAGGUGGUGCAUGCCUGUCGUCAGCUCGUGUCGUGAGAUGUUGGGUUAAGUCCCGCAACGAGCGCAACCCUUGUUCACUGUUGCCAGCACGUUAUGGUGGGGACUCAGUGGAGACCGCCGGGGUCAACUCGGAGGAAGGUGGGGAUGACGUCAAGUCAUCAUGCCCCUUAUGUCCAGGGCUUCACGCAUGCUACAAUGGCUGGUACAGAGAGUGGCGAGCCUGUGAGGGUGAGCGAAUCUCGGAAAGCCGGUCUCAGUUCGGAUUGGGGUCUGCAACUCGACCUCAUGAAGUCGGAGUCGCUAGUAAUCGCAGAUCAGCAACGCUGCGGUGAAUACGUUCCCCGGGGCU
rnacentral:rRNA from 1 species